GAAAAGAUCUUCUACUGUGAGUGGCACACAUAGGGCAGCCCACUUGCUCUACAUGCGGAAUCUACUUCAAGAGAUUUUGGAAGCAUAAUUUUUGGUAUAAGGGCAGCUGGUGCUCGUGGAUCCUGGUGCCUCA